GGUGCUGUAGCUCAGUUGGUAGAGCAUCGGACUGAAAAUCCGUGAGUCGGUGGUUCGAGUCCACUCAGCACCACAA
rnacentral:tRNA from 1 species